CCUCCCGCUUUUCCUCCCUGAGCGGGCGCCUUGAUGUGUGACAGCAAAAAGGCUUCCUGCCCCCGGCCUCUGGCUGGGGGUUUUUUUU
rfam:Limnohabitans planktonicus II-D5 scaffold00003, whole genome shotgun sequence.